UACGUAGGGUGCAAGCGUUGUCCGGAAUUAUUGGGCGUAAAGAGCUCGUAGGCGGCUUGUCACGUCGACUGUGAAAACCCGCAGCUCAACUGUGGGCUUGCAGCUGAUACGGGCAGGCUUGAGUUCGGUAGGGGAGACUGGAAUUCCUGGUGUAGCGGUGAAAUGCGCAGAUAUCAGGAGGAACACCCGGUGGCGAAGGCGGGUCUCUGGGCCGUAA
rnacentral:rRNA from 1 species